CAAGCAACGGCGCAAGGGCUUAUCAAUAGGGAGGAUGGCUGUGCCGGUCAAUAAGAUAUUCUAUAGCACAGUGCCGAUGGAUACUCGUGAUUAAAGCGACACUCUUUCCUUUCGCCCAGAUCAGUCAGAUCCAGCUGUAGAUUCCAAGUAAAGAAAGGAAGCCCAUCUAUACACUAGCUGUUAAGGCGAACUAUACACUAGCUGUUAAGGCGAAAGUGCCCUUCUUGUAUAGGUAGGGUAGUAGAGUAGU
rnacentral:lncRNA from 1 species